UACGGGGGGGGCAAGCGUUGUUCGGAAUUACUGGGCGUAAAGGGCGCGUAGGCGGUUCGCUAAGUUGAAUGUGAAAACUCUGGGCUUAACCCAGAGCCUGCAUUCAAUACUGGCGGGCUAGAGUUCUGGAGGGGAUAGCGGAAUUCCUGGUGUAGCGGUGAAAUGCGCAGAUAUCAGGAGGAACACCGGUGGCGAAGGCGGGUCUCUGGGCCGUAACUGACGCUGAGGAGCGAAAGCGUGGGGAGCGAACAGG
rnacentral:rRNA from 1 species